AAUCUUGCGCAAUGGGCGAAAGCCUGACUCAGCCAUGCCGCGUGAAUGAUGAAGGUCUUCGUACUGUUAGAUUCUUUCACCGUGGACGAUAAUGACGGUACCCGGAUAAGAAGCCCCGGCUAUCUUCGUGCCAGCAGCCGCGGUAAUACGUACGGGGCUAGCGUUGCUCGGAAUUACUUGGCGUAAAGGGCGCGUAAGGGGACAUUUAAGUCAGGGGUGAAAUCCCAGAGCUGAACUCUGGAACUUCCUUUGAUACUGGGUGUCUUGGAGGUGAGAGGGGUAGGUGGAACUCCGAGUGUAGAGGUGAAAUUCGUUGAUAUUCGGAAGAAAACCGGUGGCGAAGGGGACAUACUGGCUCAUUACUGACGCUGAGGCGCGAAAGCGUGGGGAGCAAACAG
rnacentral:rRNA from 1 species